GAUGUGAUGGCCGAUGGGUUAAGGCGUUUGACUCGAAAUCAAAUGGGCUCUGCCCGCGCAGGUUCGAAUCCUGUUCGCCACG